GUUCGCUGCCAGCGGUCGGUGGCGGCCGCUACGGUGCUGACAAGAUGGCGGCUGGCGGAGCUGUCGCUGCGGCGCCCGAGUGCCGGCUUCUCCCCUACGCGCUACACAAGUGGAGCUCCUUUUCCUCCACCUACCUUCCCGAUUCCACUCUUGUCCUGGGGACCCAGCUUUAACUUUAGCAUCUGGUAUGUUGAACUUAGUGGCAUUGAUGAUCCUGAUAUAGUACAACCUUGUCUCAACUGGUAUAGCAAGUACCGUGAACAGGAAGCUAUUCGCCUUUGCCUAAAACACUUCAGACAACACAACUAUACAGAAGCUUUUGAGUCACUGCAAAAGAAAACCAAGAUUGCACUGGAACAUCCCAUGUUAACAGAUAUUCAUGACAAGCUGGUGUUGAAGGGUGAUUUUGAUGCUUGCGAAGAGUUGAUUGAAAAGGCUGUAAAUGAUGGCUUGUUCAAUCAGUAUAUCAGUCAACAGGAAUAUAAGCCACGAUGGAGUCAAAUCAUUCCCAAAAGUACCAAAGGUGAUGGGGAAGAUAACCGUCCAGGAAUGAGAGGAGGCCAUCAGAUGGUUAUUGAUGUU
rnacentral:sRNA from 1 species